GCCAGUGUGGUGUAGUGGUUUGAGCACUGGAUUAUGACUCUGGAGACCAGGGUUCGAACCCCUGCUGGGCCA